ACACAGCCUGCUGACCACACAUCUAAAAAGGGAAAGGUGGAGGACAGGGAAAGGCAUGUAAUUUCACCUACUUCCAAAUUAGGACUUGGGCAAUGUUCCCUGGACAAGGAAGUGAACAAAUCCUUGAAGCAUUCUCAACAAAAUCCAGAGAGUGGAGGCUAACUUGAGCAGCUCCAAGGAGUGACAGAAACAAAACAAAACAUACAGAGUCAUCUACUCAUCUCUGCCUCACUAUUCCUUCAUCUUGAUUGACUUCCUCCAUCUUGGAGGUGACUCAAAGCUGCUGCUCUGGAAACUGUGGAAACAAACCAAGAGUCAGAAAAGCAGCCCUGGGAAGUCAUAAAAUCAACAGCUUCUAGCUGCCGAAUGCCAGACCCAAAGUGCUUUUCACUGCUGCUUGUUUGAAACAAUAUUUGGGAUGCCAGAACAAGAGCAAAAUUCAGGAUUACAGGCAGGUGUGCUGUUGGUAGAAGUAUUGC